rnacentral:rRNA from 1 species
AAAGAUUUCUUCGGAAUGAAUUUGAUUAAGUUUAGUGGCGGACGGGCGAGUAACGCGUGAGUAACCUGCCUCUAAGAGGGGAAUAACAUUCUGAAAAGAAUGCUAAUACCGCAUAACAUAUAUUUAUCGCAUGGUAGAUAUAUCAAAGAUUUAUCGCUUAGAGAUGGACUCGCGUCCGAUUAGUUAGUUGGUGAGGUAACGGCUCACCAAGACUGCGAUCGGUAGCCGGACUGAGAGGUUGAACGGCCACAUUGGGACUGAGACACGGCCCAGACUCCUACGGGAGGCAGCAGUGGGGGAUAUUGCGCAAUGGGGGAAACCCUGACGCAGCAACGCCGCGUGAAGGAUGAAGGUCUUCGGAUUGUAAACUUCUUUUAUUAAGGACGAAGAAAGUGACGGUACUUAAUGAAUAAGCUCCGGCUAACUACGUGCCAGCAGCCGCGGUAAUACGUAGGGAGCAAGCGUUGUCCGGAUUUACUGGGUGUAAAGGGUGCGUAGGCGGCUUUGCAAGUCAGAUGUGAAAUCUAUGGGCUCAACCCAUAGCCUGCAUUUGAAACUGCAGAGCUUGAGUGAAGUAGAGGCAGGCGGAAUUCCCCGUGUAGCGGUGAAAUGCGUAGAGAUGGGGAGGAACACC